GGGGAGCUGGCACAAACAGAGCCCAGCAUGGGCCUGAGGAGGACUCUACCAACUCUUCAGUGGACCCAGCCCUGAAGCACCCCUCUGGGGCGAUGCUAAAGUUGAAGUUGGGGGCGGGGAGGAUGCACCUGCUGGGUUGAGCCCUUAAUCUCCGCCUGUGCCUUCAGGCCUCGGUGUCUAAGGUCUUCAGACUUUGCCUUCCACUUGAGCUCAGAAGGCCCAGUUCUCCAGGUUCCUGGGGUGAUUUUGGUCCCUGAGGUGAUCAUCUUGGCUUCUGAUGCCAAAGGCAGAAUUGCAGGAGGUGAGGAUGAAGCAGGAGGGAAAACAGCGGCAGCUGAAGAUGAACCCUCUGCCCAGGGCCAGAGCAAAAUGAAAUGUGGGGCUCCUCAUCCAAAAAUUAACAAGAAUUGAAUUUCAAGACU
ensembl:lncRNA novel transcript